rnacentral:rRNA from 1 species
CGCUGGCGGCGUGCUUAACACAUGCAAGUCGAACGGAAAGGCCCUGCUUUUGUGGGGUGCUCGAGUGGCGAACGGGUGAGUAACACGUGAGUAACCUGCCCUUGACUUUGGGAUAACUUCAGGAAACUGGGGCUAAUACCGGAUAGGAGCUCCUGCUGCAUGGUGGGGGUUGGAAAGUUUCGGCGGUUGGGGAUGGACUCGCGGCUUAUCAGCUUGUUGGUGGGGUAGUGGCUUACCAAGGCUUUGACGGGUAGCCGGCCUGAGAGGGUGACCGGCCACAUUGGGACUGAGAUACGGCCCAGACUCCUACGGGAGGCAGCAGUGGGGAAUAUUGCACAAUGGGCGGAAGCCUGAUGCAGCAACGCCGCGUGCGGGAUGACGGCCUUCGGGUUGUAAACCGCUUUCGCCUGUGACGAAGCGUGAGUGACGGUAAUGGGUAAAGAAGCACCGGCUAACUACGUGCCAGCAGCCGCGGUGAUACGUAGGGUGCGAGCGUUGUCCGGAUUUAUUGGGCGUAAAGGGCUCGUAGGUGGUUGAUCGCGUCGGAAGUGUAAUCUUGGGGCUUAACCCUGAGCGUGCUUUCGAUACGGGUUGACUUGAGGAAGGUAGGGGAGAAUGGAAUUCCUGGUGGAGCGGUGGAAUGCGCAGAUAUCAGGAGGAACACCAGUGGCGAAGGCGGUUCUCUGGGCCUUUCCUGACGCUGAGGAGCGAAAGCGUGGGGAGCGAACAGGCUUAGAUACCCUGGUAGUCCACGCUGUAAACGGUGGGUACUAGGUGUGGGGUCCAUUCCACGGGUUCCGUGCCGUAGCUAACGCUUUAAGUACCCCGCCUGGGGAGUACGGCCGCAGGGCUAAAACUCAAAGGAAUUGACGGGGCCCCGCACAAGCGGCGGAGCAUGCGGAUUAAUUCGAUGCAACGCGUAGAACCUUACCUGGGUUUGACAUGGAUCGGGAGUGCUCAGAGAUGGGUGUGCCUCUUUUGGGGUCGGUUCACAGGUGGUGCAUGCCUGUCGUCAGCUCGUGUCGUGAGAUGUUGGGUUAAGUCCCGCAACGAGCGCAACCCUUGUUCACUGUUGCCAGCACGUUAUGGUGGGGACUCAGUGGAGACCGCCGGGGUCAACUCGGAGGAAGGUGGGGAUGACGUCAAGUCCUCAUGCCCCUUAUGUCCAGGGCUUCACGCAUGCUACAAUGGCUGGUACAGAGAGUGGCGAGCCUGUGAGGGUGAGCGAAUCUCGGAAAGCCGGUCUCAGUUCGGAUUGGGGUCUGCAACUCGACCUCAUGAAGUCGGAGUCGCUAGUAAUCGCAGAUCAGCAACGCUGCGGUGAAUACGUUCCCGGGGCUUGUACACACCGCCCGUCAAGUCAUGAAAGUUGGUAACACCCGAAGCCGGUGGCCUAACCGUUGUGGGGGAGCCGUCGAAGGUGGGACUGGUGAUUAGGACU